NNNNNNNNNNNNNNNNNNNNNNNNNNNNNNNNNNNNNNNNNNNNNNNNNNNNNNNNNNNNNGGAUUAUAAAGUAAAGCUUCAAGCAGGUUUGAAUCUAAAAGCCACAUCAUCUGACAACUCUGAAGUUAUUUUCAUAUUUGAAAAAUGGAGGUGGUAGUACAUGUCUCACAGUUUUAGGGUGAGGAUGAAGUGCCAUAAGCCCUUAGCAUAAUGCCUGGUUCCUUGUGGAUAACACUGAAUAUUCUAGACGAACUUUGCAGUUAUCGCUGGAUAGCUCAACAGAGUAAACAUCUGUUUGUAUUAAGUUUUUCUUGGGUGCUACGUCUGCCUUGUCAGAAGAGUCCUCAGGGGAGGAUGAGGCAGCGAACUCUCAUUGCAUGAAAUGAGGUUUUAAAUGAGAUAAUAGGUGUGAAGCUCUCCAUAAAGCCCUUACAAAUGGUGACUUUUCCUACUAUGGCAGGAACUUCAGUUUACCAACAACUCAGGUGGGACUGUUCCAGUAUGGAUCAAGUUCUUCCAAUGACACAUGUGGACACAUCUCCUGGGGAGACUUCUGAGAAAGGUUUCCUCAUUCCCAGAAACAGACCUCUGGGGAGAGUCAUUUUCUUCUGCUGAUCAUGAUCAGGUCUGAGUCAAGCGGCUGGAGCUCCAGCAACCUUCUUGUGAUGGGGAGGAAAGGAUGGAGACUGGGUCCUCCAUGACAUCCCCAAUUAUACCAACCACGGAGCUUCCCCACUUCAGGAAAUCUUGUUAAGUGACUUUGGGGGUGUUCGUAUUUACGGCCAACCAGUAAAUCAAUGAAGAGAAAUCUCCAAAUGUCUUUAGACUAAGGACUUUUUAUGCCUUACACACUGUCUUCCAAAGAAGCCUUGCAAGUUCCUCUAGCUGAAAAUGCUUUGGCUGCUGCAACCGUUUCUCUCCUCUCAGGCCAUUGCUUUGUUUUCCUCACCUACCAACCAGGUUCCUCUGACAACUUUCUUUUCUUGCAAGCACAAGAUGCAUAGCUAUCAAAGAGACAAAACUUUCUCAUCUGUAAGUAUUAAUGGGUUGACUCACGAAACUUUCUUCUAUACUCUCAGGGGCACCCACUUAAAAACCAACAUAUACUAAAUGCUAUCUUACUAAAGUAGUGCAGAGCGUUUAAAAAAAAUGUAUGUCAAGCUCUUUCAUUCGUAAGUGUCCUACCAUAGCAAUGGUGCUUCACCUGUAUCCCUUUCAGUCCCUCCAAUUCUGAUUCCAAUUCCAACAGGUCUUGUUUUUUCCCACAUCAGGUCAUUCUCUGAAUCACCACCUAUCUAAUUCCAC
rnacentral:lncRNA from 1 species